AAAAAAAAAUCUGCUUUGUCACAGUUUGUGUCUCAUCUCUGAAUGAAAAAACCCUUAUUUGGCUUUAGCACACAGGGAAGCGUUGUCGUCACAAGGGAAACAGGACGCCACAUCUUCAGACAGCACCAGUACAGGGCACAGCUAAUAGUCUCUGGCUAACAUCACUGUAAUGCAGCGAGGAAGGAGGAGAGCAAAACGCUUCAUCAGCAUGUAAGCUCCGUCAGACUGUGGCGCUGACGAAAGAGCAUGGUGCCACCUACGUCACACACAAACGACUAAAUCUGACUGCAGGAGGAAAGUGAAAGAGCAAAUCAAUAAUUCUCUGCUCCAAAAAUUAGAAAACCAAUUAAUUGACUAAAUUUAGAACAGCAAACAUACAUUAAGAGCUGGUUAUAAUUCUCCUCAACAACAAAGACUUGGAUGGCUCCCAGGUGAGAUGAGUGAAUCACUUGAAAUAUCUGACAGAGCCUGUCAGAGCAGGGCAGUGUGUCAUGAAUCAGGGACAGGCUGGUUUGACAAGAUUUCCUACACAUCAGAGGUGUGUGCGCAAACAUGUGUGUAAACAUGUAUAUUUCCUCACCCACAGCAAAUAGAGACACAGCUGUGAGAUAGCUUUGACCACAGCAGAACAUUUAAUGUACUGGCCCCACCAGCGCUCAAAAUUAAGGAUGUCCCAUUGUUCCAGGGACAAUAGAAAUAGCACCUGGGACACAAAGAUACGGUGUCUGGGACAAUUCUGGGACAGUCGAGAAACUUGUGAAAUGAAAUUACUACAUUUAUGCGUCAUGGAUCAUUUUAGGUGUUCAAAUUCGAGGCAAUGUGAGGUGGCAUCUGUUGUAUAAAAGGUUAAGCACAGUUAAAUGCUGUAACCAAUCACAAAACAUGUUCAACAGAUAUAUGGAAGUUGUGUGGCUUGUUCCUAAAGGAAGUUAAGUGUUAACCGCAACCUCUCUCUCUGCCUCAUUAUUAUAGACAAUGAAACAUGGUGUCAGAAUAAAGCUUGGAGAGAUAUCUGAAGUUAUGUAAAGGGAGGAGAAGGAUGCACCUCCAUAAGACAGCCAGAAGACUGUCUGUCAGACUGCAAGCCCUCCUGUGUGAAGAGCGGGACUAGCAAGUAGCUAAAUGGGCUUAACAAGCUAGCAGUGUUGCUGAAGGAAGGGAAAAAAAAAAAAAAAAGUUGGCAAACCAUAAACCAAAUGAGAGUGAGCCCGGCCAAAGAGGAGUUGGAAAAUAAGACAGGAAACAGGCGUGUCAGUUUGAUAAAUCAGACAAACGUAAUUGAGCAAAUUAAGAGAAAACUAAGUGGAAGGCAGAAACGACGAGCCGGCCAGCACUAGCAGCAGCAGCUCCAGCUAGCAGUGUGCAUCUGACCCCACCAGGCAAGUCUGAUUUCAAUAAUAAAGUGAAUGGCCAAAGCUUGAAAGAAUAUCAAGUACAUAUACUGAUGUACACUCUAGGGGAUGAGGGUGAAGACAUAUUGAAUGUCUUGCCCUUAAAUGACGAUUAGAAAAAAAAAAAGUUUAUGAAGAUGUGAAGCAGGCUUUUGAGAAACACUGUGAGGAAAAGAAACAUUAUUUUUGAGCAUGCCAUCUGGAGACAGGAGAAAGUGCUAAAGCUUUUCUUACUGCUGUCUAUAGCCUAACUGAGCACUGUGCAUUUGGAGAUCUAAGAGGAGAACUGAUCAAAGACUGGAUUGUUGUUGGCCUAAGAGAUGCAAAACUGUCAUUGCAGUUAGAUCCUGAACUCACAAUAGUCAAAACUAUAGCCAGUGUUUUACAGUGAGGAAAUUAAGAAGCAGCAGUCAAUACUACAUGGCAGCUUACAUGAGAGGCAGUCAGAGAACUUAGAUGAAACAAGUGCAAGGCGACAGACCCAGAGUGGCACAAAAGGACAAAAAUACAGCUCACACGUAAAGCCAGAAAAUAAAACUAUCUCCGCAGGUUGUGGACAUUUUGCUUGGAAAUGUUGAUCAGCUGGUGACAUCUGUGAUAUAACGGAAGAUUCGGCAGACUAUGGAGCAGAAGAUGUCGCCUUUCUGAGGUGGUUAUUGAGAUCAAUAGUGUUGAACAUGAUCUAAUUAAGUGUUUACUAUGAGAUAUGACCUGCCAUGGCGGACCAGAGUGAGUCAAUGAAGUGAAAGCAGAAUUCGGGACAGUUGCGGGACACUAAGGAAAAAAGGUAAUUUUGAGCCCUGGUCGAUACGUGCUUACAUCACUGGCCGUGCUUCCACUAUCUAGCAACAUUUAACAUCCAUUUGCUUGAAUUUUAUUGCUGAACAGUUAGAAGACAUUUCACAUUUCCACAAAUUUAUAUUUGCUGCUCUGAUGCCAGAUGAAGCCAUCUGUUCUCAAUUUAAAAUCUGUAGAUUCUCCAUUACAUUGACACUAACAAAGAAGCUCUUUUAUCAGUUCAACUAUUUUAGUACUGAAUGUUGCUGAUGAAAAAUGUGAAAUCUGGUUGUUACUAGAAUGCAAUUUGUCAAGAGAUGUCAAAAUAGCCACACCAGUAUAUUUAUGUAACAGGGUGAAACAACUAUCUUACAAGACAAUACUGACAAAAAGAGCAAAGAUGCAUCCUAGUAUGAACAAGGACAUGGCGGUGUGUUUUUCCUUUCUUCUUCAUUGCUGAAUCAUACUGAUGAUGAUUAAAUCUGAGAAGACUCUUGAGACGUCCUCUUGUGAGACAAUCUUUUGCAUACAGCCAGAGGCGCCCUGCCCUGUGCUUCCUCAUUUCUCGGGGCAAUGUGAUGAGCUAGCAUGGAGAUGGAGCUGGUUAACUCCAAGAUUGGCUGCAAGGCUCUCUGGCAAAUGGAUCUAGAGGCAGGCAGGCCAAUCUUCAAAUGAGCACAUGGCAGCCAGCCACAUCCCCAACUACUUAUAUUGAUUUAUCACCAGACUGAUGCCAUCAAUACAAGGUUAAAUGACUCCUGCCCAUCUACAGAGAUGCAUCAGAGUAUAACUGGGCACCGUUUUUGCAAGCCCUGACAAAUGCACAAGAUUGUCUUACAUUUUGUUUCAACUGCUGCCAUACUUAUUUUUUUAAAUCCAACACAAACUAUAUGGUGCAUUAAAUCAAACAAACGGACUUACACCUGCAUAAUGAAGUACACAGAAACUACUUCAACAGUUCAGUAUAAAAACGGAUGGUGAUAAAGAUGGUGGAUCCAAAUUAAGAUAUUUUUGUACUUUAGCUACACAAAAACACCUUUAGGACAGUAUUCUGGAAACACCUAAGCCUUUCUCUGAACAGCUGUUAAUUUUAGUCUUUCAGCCUUCUAUUCACAGCCAGCAUAAAUUACCGCUAUCCUCUGACUCCAUUCUUUCUUUGUAAACUUAGCCUCCCUAACGCAUCACAGGUAAUGGUUGAUAGAGAAACACUGGAAUCCUCAAACGUUGCCUUUCUGUUCUGAUGAUUAAAGGUUUGAUGUGUGGCAGGGUGGCUUCUGCAGUGGUGUGGAGGCACAACCUCUGGGUUUUAAUCCUAAUCCCCUCAGCUUAGGUAAAGAGCUUUUACCCCCUUUUCUUUUUUCUCCCUGCAGAAUAUUUGAUGUAUGGGAUGCCCUUGUGACGUCUUGUGAUGUCAGAGCAGGAGGUGCCUCCAGCUACGGAUGAUCGUGCAUGCAAAACGCCUGCGCAAUAGACAUCAGAUUGGUCUGCUCUGUAUAGUAGGUGACUGGGGAAGCACUGGUUUUAAGGAACAAAUCACAGUAUCAGGAAGGUUGUAGUUGUAAAAAUGUGUUCCUGUUUUACAAAACUGUGUACAAUGUGUAGAGAUAUGAGGUUACAUGAGCAAUUUAUGAGACAUGCUGAAGCAUGUCUAGAACAUACGCUGCCGUCACAGAACGCACUUCUCUGCUAAAGAAUAUGUGUUUGAGGAGAGAGUGAAAGACAAUGCUAGUGAGUAAAAAGUAGAUAAAAAAACUUACUUGGUGAAAAAUUUGUGUAUACAUGCCUGUAAUUGCACAGGUAACUGGAAAGGCAAGACUGCAGAGCAAGAGAUGCUUUAAGCUGUAAAGUAAAUAUGUAUCUUAGGUAAAAUAGACAAUUUGUGCUAUUAUUUAUGACAGUGAGUGGUGGGGAAACAGAACAGCACGGCUUUCACGUACUGGUGAUACAAGUCCCAAGGAUAAUGGCACCUUGUGAGUGUCACCUGUUCUGAGCCAGACAUCACUAAAAAGGCAGUCCUCACAAAAGGACACCGUCACUAGACUACUAAAACAAUGCAUCAUCACCUGACACCAGAAGAUAACAGCAACUUAUAGCCUGUUCCAGGAAAUUGCUAAUUACUGUAAAUUGAAUAUCUCUGGGGUUUUUGUACAUUGAGCAGAGCAAGAAAUUUCAAGCCAUCCAUUUGAGCCAGGACUUGUGAUGUGCAUUUGUCAUUAUUUUCAGUGUUUUACAGACUGAAUGAUGGGUCAACACCCUAAAAAAUGAUUCACAACAACAAUAAAAUGUUAAUUGCAACCAUAAUCCUCAAGCUUGUGUACACUACAGUGAUCGACAUCACAGGAGCACAAGCUGCAAUUUCCAGUCAAAGACUCCACAUCACAAAGCUGAGACCUGAAUCAUCAUCCACCCAAUACCAUAUCCCUUCUUUUUGCAAGCGUGAUCCCUCCCCACUAGCUAAUUCCCCAGCUGUCACUGGUUCACCACCACAGACUAGUACUACUGCUACCCUUGGGCCAUGGCCACCACCAUGCUGCUCUUGCUGCCAUUGCCCAUUACAGCUGAGCAAUGACAUCCAGCUUCUUCUCAUUUUAGGGUGCAACCGGACAAUAUUAUCAUUGUAGUUGUAUUAUGGCAUAUGAUACUUUGAAUCUUGAGCUGAAAAAUGAUGGAGAUUUCACAAUAUCACGCAGCCCAAUGUGAGUAGCUGAAAGAUACUGCUUUCACUCCGUGAUUAUCAAAGAGCCAUCCAUACUAUGCUAUGCAUCAAUGAACAACUACACACCAUCCACAAACAUACUUGAGCCAGUUCUACCAAAAGGCCUCGAGCUACAUCAGGUCAAGACAAACGCCCUGUAAUAUAGUCAAAUAGUAGCUUGGUAAUUUCCUAUUGGAGUUGCACCCAUUUCAACACACCAGUCAGCCUAGAAGUCACAUGUAAGUCUUCGCUAUGAUACAGCAUACCAUUGCCACAUCAUGUAGCUCUUGCCUUGGAUUGAGAGAAGACAACCAAUAAACUAGGAAAUGAUCGAACAAGAAUGGCCAAUUGUAAAACAGGUAGAUUUCAAAGUUCACUCUCUGUGCCACUUCCCAUCCAAAAAAAACAAAAACCCAAAAAUUCAGUGAUGUUAAACCAUUUUAUCUUCUGUAGAAGAGUUGUAAAAAUCAAAUCCGUUUCUUUGAACAGAUUUACAUUUUCGUCUUUAUAUUAAUAUUUCACAGGAUCAGUAACCAGAUGGUAUUUCCAAGUCAGAAGUCUCAUCAUGUGAUAAUCAUGUGACCUUGUGUCAUUCCUUUGAGCAAUAAGGAAGUUAACCAGCUGAUCCUGGUUUCCAAUGGUCUAUUAAGUUUUAAGAAAAAAAACGUUUUCAGCUAAAGAUAACUUGCAUUAAAUUAGAUGUCACACCAACGAAAUAACGACUGUAAAAUUGUUGCAGACCAGCAAAUAUUCCAUGCAGAACUGUGUCAGUUCAAUCAUGCAAUGUCAUUGGUUAUCUCUGCUGUCAAGCUACAUUAAAUAAAUGUAUAACAUUAUACAACGCCUCACUUAUUGCCAGCUGAUAACACUCUUAAACCCCGCAGGAUGUAACGUUAACGUUGGUGUGGAGCUUACAGGAAAGGUCACCCCUAUCAGGCAUCACUUUGGUGUGCUCCGCUGCAGGCUUUCCCUUUGAUAUCAUUCGCCCUUCAGAAGCAGGAGGAUGAAAUGAUGGGAAUGAGCAAGGGAUGGUGUGGAGACAGUGACUCGACCAUGCAGCGGAGGGUGGUUUACAGUCAGCUGUGAUAUGCAGCAACGUGGAGCGUGACAGUGAGAAAAUUUGAGGUUGAGUGUGUAUGGUUGAUUGUGUAUGUGGUGGGGGGAGGGCACAGAGAAUCCCCAUUCCACUGUAUAGCUCCCAGCAAGUGCGGGCUCAGAGCUCCAGAGAGAGGAGGGGUCGAGAGAGCUAGGAAACCAUGGGAAAUAUAGCAUGUGAGGCGUGUGUGAGUCACAGAGAGCUUGUGCAGUCCCCAUGCCUCACCCUCCUCCUCCUCCUCCCUAUCCAUCCAUCCCUCCAUCCUUCUCCAUCUGCAUUGCCCAGUCUAGUCAGCACUAGAGAAGGACCCCUCCCCCCUGCAUCACUGUAAGGCCCUUCACUCGUGAUGCAAUUUCCACACCAGCAUCACAGGCCUCUUCCCUUUCAAACACUUUCCUUAGCCAACAUCUUACUCCGGCCGCCAAAUACAAGGUUGUAUUAUGCAACUAAAAUUUAUCAUUUUGAUGGAGGGAUGAUGUGUGUGCAGUGGUGCAUUGAAAAUAAAAAGGUUACAGCUGAAUGAGA